rnacentral:rRNA from 1 species
GAUGAACGCUGGCGGCGUGCUUAACACAUGCAAGUCGAACGAUAAAGCCGAGCUUGCUGGGUCGAUUAGUGGCGAACGGGUGAGUAACACGUGAGUAACCUGCCAUUAACUCUGGGGUAAGCGAUGGAAACGGGGUAUAAUACCGGAUAGGAGCGCCUACCGCCUGGUGGGUGUUGGAAAUAUUCAUCGGUUGUGGAUGGAAUCGCGCCGUAUCCGCUUGUUUGUGUGGGAACGGCUCACCACGGCGACGACGGGUAGCCGACCUGAGAGGGGGAUAGCCCACCCGGGAGGUGAGACACGCUCCAUACGCCUGCGGGACGCAGCAGUCGCCAAUGUUGGGCAACAGGCGAGAGCAUGACACAGCGGUCCCGCGUGAGUGAAGAAGGCGUUCGGUUCGUGAAGACGGUUUUUGGGGGAAGAACAGCUGUCAGUUGAGAAGAGGCGGUAGUGACGGUACCUGAAGAAUAAGCACCGGCUAACUACGUG